CCCCCCCCCCCCCCCCCCCCCCCCCGGGACCCGCCACCGCCGCCCCGGGGCAGCGACACGCGGGUCCCCUGCGGGGGCCACGGCAGCGUGGGCAUCGCCGCGCCGACAGCUGAUGCUCUCCGGCGCUGUAAAGACACACAGUUCUGUUUCUUGCUGGAAAGAUGAGUGUUUAGGGGAAGGGAACGGAGCCUGGCAGCGGGGACCCCCGGCUGCCGGAGCUGCUGGUCCUGUGCCGGGAAGGCGAGCAAACAUCUCCCGACGGGUCACGCACCCACUGCGCGGCCCGAUGCUCCGGGUGGUGGGGCGGGACCCUGCGGUGGGGGAACGAUUCCCCCGUCGUCUAUUGACUGACCGGUGCCCAUCGGAGAAAUGUGUGUUUCAACACUUGCGGGGGCAUCUCCCGCGGUCCCUGCGGGCGCGGGGUGUCUCACACCGGCAUUUCGCACCGAGCAGCGCACUCAGCACACAGCGGCAGGUCCCAGCGUCCCGGCCACCCAGUUUAUCCCGGCAGCCCCGGCCCCCCAUUUUACCCCGGCAGCCGUUCCCACCGGGCCGACUCCUGCCCGGGAAGGACUCGGUGCCUUCCGCGACACCCGCGCUCGCCGGGGAGGCUGCGAAGCGAGCCCGGAGCGGGGACACAACUUGACCAAGGUCACCGAGCAAGCCGGCGUUAGUACGCGGGAUCCCCCCCCCCCCCCCCCCCCCCCCCCCCCCCCCCCCCCCCCCCCCCCCCCCCCCCCCCCCCCCCCCCCCCCCCC
rnacentral:lncRNA from 12 species